GAUGAACGCUGGCGGCGUGCCUAACACAUGCAAGUCGAACGAAGCACUUUUUUACGAUCCCUUCGGGGUGACGAAUUUGUGACUGAGUGGCGGACGGGUGAGUAACGCGUGGGAAACCUGCCUUGUACCGGGGGAUAGCAGUUGGAAACGACUGAUAAUACCGCAUAAGCGCACAGUAUCACAUGAUACAGUGUGAAAAACUCCGGUGGUACAAGAUGGUCCCGCGUCUGAUUAGCUUGUUGGCGGGGUAAUGGCCCACCAAGGCGACGAUCAGUAGCCGACCUGAGAGGGUGACCGGCCACAUUGGGGCUGAGAUACGGCCCAGACUCCUACGGGAGGCAGCAGUGGGGAAUAUUGGGCAAUGGACGCAAGUCUGACCCAGCAACGCCGCGUGAAGGAGAAGGCUUCGGGUUGUAAACUUCUUUGUCAGGGAAGAGCAGAAGACGGUACCUGACGAAUAAGCCACGGCUAACUACGUG
rnacentral:rRNA from 1 species